GUAGGCGAGCAUGUUUUCUAGUACACGUUUUAGUUAAAGUUUCGUGACUAGAUUACAUGCUCGUCUAUA
rnacentral:pre_miRNA from 1 species